rnacentral:rRNA from 1 species
CAGUCGCCGCGGGAAUACGUAGGUGGCAAGCGUUGUCCGGAAUUAUUGGGCGUAAAGGGCUCGCAGGCGGUUUCUUAAGUCUGAUGUGAAAGCCCUCGGCUCAACCGGGGAGGGUCAUUGGAAACUGGGAAACUGGAGUGCAGAAGAGGAGAGUGGAAUUCCACGUGUAGCGGUGAAAUGCGUAGAGAUGUGGAGGAACACCAGUGGCGAAGGCGACUCUCUGGUCUGUAACUGACGCUGAGGAGCGAAAGCGUGGGGAGCGAACAGGAUUAGAGACCCCUGUAGUCCCUGUCUCUUAUAC